UUCAUUUCUGAAACAAUACCAAAGAAAGAAGGGAAAUAGCGGUAAAAGAUUGCUCUCAUCCUUUGCAUACAUAUGAGCAACGAAGUCAUUGUAUGAGCUAAAAUUCCAAUGUGGAACAAGCCCUUGUUUUACAAUCAGAAGUAACAUUUUAUUGACCAAUCCCAAGAAGAGGCAUUAAUGUGGUCCAUUGCAGAAUAAGCUUGUUCGUUAUUUAGGGAAGAAACAAUGAUUGUGGCAGACAAAGUAUAAACAAUUAUUUAACUUGGCACCCAUACAAAUUGACAGCCUUCACAAAAUAUAGUUUAGCUCACUACAAGCAAUUGCUAUUCAACUUUUAAAAUGUUCAUAGGAUUGGCAUGAGGAGAUAGGGAUGGCUAUAUCUCUGGGAACGAACUCCAGGCAAAUCUUAAACGCAUGGAUACAAGUUAUGCCUUGGAAUGAAAGACAGUUCUGAAUCCACUUUGAUUUUUAUUAUUUUCUUUGCUUUUUAAAAAAAAAUAUUUUUUUUUUC